GUUGGCCGGCUCAAAGUGGACAUGGCAUCUGCCCGGUAAGCGGAAGGUUGUGGGUUCGAUUCCCGCCCCUGGACA